CACGAGAUCAUAGUUGAGGGUUUCCACAAUACAAGGAUCAAGAUGAAAUACUACAAAAAUACGAACAUGUAUCAAAGCACUAUCUCCAAGCUAAACUGCCAUACAUCAUGUACUACAUCAAAUAAACACAAUCCUCAAAACAAAAGUACAAGAAAUAGGCCCUAGCCCUCGCCAGUACAAGGUGUAGUACAUAGUGGCCUUCUAAUUGGUGAUCCUCAAAUGUAUAGGCCUGCUGGUGGGACAUGCUAUCUAUUGAGCGAUUCUCCUCACCUCGAACAGCCGUCAGCAUGUGAAGCUCUGAAAAGUAAACAACAAAAGGGUAUGAGAACUACUGAACAGUAGUUCCUAGUGGGUAUGGUCGACGAUAACCACGACCUUUCUACUAGGUCUAUUGGAUGCCAGAUUAGUGAAAGAACAGUAACAUAUGCGAUAAAGAGUAGCUGAAUGUAACUGACUAUCAUGUAUAUAGGUAAAUGAGUGACUGUAAGUAACAGUAAAGAUAACUGGCUCUAAUCUGAACAAAUAAAUGUAAAGCCUAGUAAAAGACUAACUAGCUAUGACAGGUAUGGAGAAACAUAAAGUAACAGUAAAGGGAUAACUGCAUGUAAUAUAAACAGAUCUCUAUACCUAUUGUACUAUCAUGUUCUUGUACAUGUAGUUAGAGGAAAGGAAAGAAACUAAAUAGUGUAUGCAUCAAUAUAACUACUACUAAACAAAUGCCAUAAUAGUACCCAAUCACAACGACCGACUCAUACGUCG
rnacentral:lncRNA from 1 species